rnacentral:tRNA from 1 species
AGAGUUUUAUGCGCUUUGCUUACAACGAAGCUUUGUUUUAACUCUU